UGGGGAAUAUUGCACAAUGGGCGCAAGCCUGAUGCAGCCAUGCCGCGUGUAUGAAGAAGGCCUUCGGGUUGUAAAGUACUUUCAGCGGGGAGGAAGGGAGUAAAGUUAAUACCUUUGCUCAUUGACGUUACCCGCAGAAGAAGCACCGGCUAACUCCGUGCCAGCAGCCGCGGUAAUACGGAGGGUGCAAGCGUUAAUCGGAAUUACUGGGCGUAAAGCGCACGCAGGCGGUUUGUUAAGUCAGGUGUGAAAUCCCCGGGCUCAACCUGGGAACUGCAUCUGAUACUGGCAAGCUUGAGUCUCGUAGAGGGGGGUAGAAUUCCAGGUGUAGCGGUGAAAUGCGUAGAGAUCUGGAGGAAUACCGGUGGCGAAGGCGGCCCCCAGGACGAAGACUGACGCUCAGGUGCGAAAGCGUGGGGAGCAAACAGG
rnacentral:rRNA from 1 species